CAAAUCACAAUCAGAUGUAAACACCAAUGUCAACAAAGCAAGUGUCAAAUUUCUACUUAACUUGUGGUUAUAAUUUUGGCCACCAGGAGGCGCCUGGAUUUUUGAACUCGCGAAUAACCAAAGCUCAAAUUACUGAAAAUCAAUCCUUGACCUAGUUUGGAGGAGUAGAAAACAACAAUUUCCUUAGACUGGCCAGUAAACUAAGAAUAAAAGAACAAUCUGACAGCAUCAGACAUCCAGCUUUUGACAGCAAUUGUCGAUUUUGACACCUUCACAACCAUUAACUGCUACUAGUAAAUUAAGAUGCGAAUACAAUUCGUAUUUAAAGCAAUUAAGCCUAAAGUGUAGAGAAAAUGGUUGAUAUGAUGUAAUAUGUAACAGACUUUCGUUGAUUUAUCAAGCAAAAACUUGCAGAUAAACUUGCUUUUGUGCCAGACGGGCAGCAGGACAAUGAUCCAAAACACUCUUCACAAAUUGAGUAACAGUGGUUUGUGGAAAAUGAUGAGUUUUGGAGUGGCCUGCACAAUCUCCCGAUCUAAAUCCUUUUGAAAAUCUUUGGGGGAAGUGGAAUUUUCGCACUCGAACGCAAAUGUUUCCAAAUAAACAAACUUUGAUAAAGAAAGUUAGUGAAAACAAACUUUGUUGUUUUACUGUUGCCCAAUGAUUGUCAGUGUUCCCUUCGGUUUACUUCUCUAUUAUAUUACUUGAUUGUAUGCCCACAAAAGGAAAUGCUCCUUUCGAAAUUUCAGUUUUAUUGCCAGUUUUCUCAGAGCCCUAAAUCACGAUGAUGGAGCCCCGAAGUCACUAUGAUUGGGACUCCCAUAACCGGCAGGUCGUGGUGGAAGGCACGCAGGCUUUAGAGCGGACUGGAGACAGCCUGGCCAGAUCGCAUCAGAUAGCAGUUGAGACUGAGACUAUCGGAACGGAGGUGGUCUCUGAGCUGGGAGAGCAAAGGGAGGCCUUGCUGAGGACCAGGAGUCGGCUAGAGGAUGCCAACAGCCAGCUGGAUAACGCCAAAUCGGUUCUCAUCAAAAUGGGUAGGAACGUUUUGUACAACAAACUGAUCCUAGUCAUAAUCAUUAUUCUGGAAGUUGUUAUCCUGGCCACUCUAAUAUAUUUGCGGGUUUCUAGAUGAGAAAACCCAUGUGCUGUUAAAUGAAUACAUUUUCUGUGUAGACGCUAAAAGAAAGUUGUGAUAAAAUUACGCUUUCAAAGGCUAAUUUCAAACAUUUUUGUACCUUUAUACGCUGUUGCUGUUUUAUCCCUACCCGUAUUAUAAGAAAUGGGCCGAUGAUUAGUCACACCUUUUUAUAUUAAAUGAUUUUAUUUACACA